GGAAGGAUCAUUAUUGAAUUUGAUCUUCGGAUCUCAUACAUAAUAACACACUGUGAACCGUGGCUUCGGCCCAAACUUGAAGUCUAGAAUGUAAUAUAUCAUAAUAAAAUACAACUUUUAACAACGGAUCUCUUGGCUCUCGCAUCGAUGAAGAACGCAGCGAAAUGCGAUAAGUAAUGUGAAUUGCAGAAUUCAGUGAAUCAUCGAAUCUUUGAACGCACCUUGCGCCCUCUGGUAUUCCGGAGGGCAUGCCUGUUUGAGUGUCAUGAACACCUCACCCCCUCGGGUUUCCGAUCGGGUGGAUUUGGGUGCUGCCAGUUACAUGGCUCGCCUUAAAAGCAUUAGCGGUUGUAGACUUAAUAAGUUUCGUCUUGUCGACCGCUUCUAAUCUCCUUCGGGAUGUCUUCGGACACUUCAUGAUCUGACCUCAAAUCAGGUAGGACUACCCGCUGAACUUAAGCAUAUCAAUAAGCGGAGGAAAAGAAACUAACAAGGAUUCCCUUAGUAACGGCGAGUGAACCGGGAAGAGCUCAAAUUUGUAAUCUGGCGUCCUUCGGGCGUCCGAGUUGUAAUCUAAAGAGGUGUUUUCCGCGCCGGACCAUGUUUAAGUCUCCUGGAACGGAGUAUCAAAGAGGGUGACAAUCCCGUGCUUGACAUGACGACCGGUGCUAUGUGAUACAUCCUCAACGAGUCGAGUUGUUUGGGAAUGCAGCUCUAAACGGGUGGUAAAUUCCAUCUAAGGCUAAAUAUUGGCGAGAGACCGAUAGCGAACAAGUACCGUGAGGGAAAGAUGAAAAGCACUUUGGAAAGAGAGUUAAACAGCACGUGAAAUUGUUAAAAGGGAAACGAUUGAAGUCAGUCGUGCACUUGGUAUUCAGCUGUCUCUGGCAGUGUAUUUGCCUUGUGCGGGUCAACAUCAGUUCUGAUCGACGGAAAAGGGCUGGAAGAAGGUGGCACCCUCGGGUGUGUUAUAGCUUCCUGUCGUAUACGUCGGUUGGGACUGAGGAAUGCAGCUUGCCGCAAGGCCGGGGUUCGCCCACGUUCAAGCUUAGGAUGUUGACAUAAUGGCUUUAAACGACCCGUCUUGAAACACGGACCAAGGAGUCUAACAUGUAUGCGAGUGUUUGGGUGUCAAACCCAUGACGCGAAAUGAAAGUGAACAGGAGGGAUCCGCAAGGAGCACCUUCGACCGAUCCAGACGUCUUCUGACGGAUUUGAGUAAGAGCAUAUAUGCUGGGACCCGAAAGAUGGUGAACUAUGCCUGAAUAGGGUGAAGCCAGGGGAAACUCUGGUGGAGGCUCGUAGCGAUUCUGACGUGCAAAUCGAUCGUCAAAUUUGGGUAUAGGGGCGAAAGACUAAUCGAACCAUCUAGUAGCUGGUUCCUGC
rnacentral:misc_RNA from 1 species